rnacentral:rRNA from 1 species
ACAGGCUUAACACAUGCAAGUCGAGGGGUAGCAGGGUAGCAAUACCGCUGACGACCGGCGCACGGGUGAGUAACACGUAUCCAACCUUCCCAUAACUCGGGGAUAGCCUUUCGAAAGAAAGAUUAAUACCCGAUAGUACUUAAGAAAGGCAUCUUUUUUAAGUUAAAGAUUUAUUGGUUAUGGAUGGGGAUGCGUUCCAUUAGAUAGUUGGUGAGGUAACGGCUCACCAAGUCUUCGAUGGAUAGGGGUUCUGAGAGGAAGGUCCCCCACAUUGGUACUGAGACACGGACCAAACUCCUACGGGAGGCAGCAGUGAGGAAUAUUGGUCAAUGGGCGAGAGCCUGAACCAGCCA